ACCGGGCAUCCUGAGCGGGUGGACGGCUCGCCGUUGAUGUCGGCGCAGGGCCAGUCGAAGGACGCGGCUCCGGCGUUCUUGCCCUCUGGCUCGGUC
rnacentral:tRNA from 1 species